rnacentral:sRNA from 1 species
AUUGAGCUACAAGGUUCUAGACUAAGUGUUUUGUAUACAUAUUAGCUCCAUAUUACCUCCAUGACCUCUUUCCCCAUGAAGCCUUCCCUGAGCCUCAGUAUCCACUCUUUCCUGUACCAUGAAUCCAUUUUUCUUUUACUUUUUCUUUUCUUUCUCUCCCUCUUUUUCUUUCUUUCUUUCUCUCUAUCUCUUUUUUUGUUUGUUUGUUUUUUUGAGACAGGGUCUCACUCUGGCACCCAGGCUGGAGUGCCGUGGCGUGAUCAUGGUUCACUGCAGCCUUGACCUCACAGGCUCACACCAUCCUCCUGCAUUAGCCUCCCAAGUAGCUUGGACCACAGGCAUGCACCACCAUGCCCAGAUAAUUUUUUUUUAAAUUUUUUGUAGAGAUGGGGUCUCACUAUGUUGCCCAAACUGGUCUUGAAUUCCUGGGCUCAAGUGAUUCUCCCACCUCAGCCUCCCAAAGUGCUGGGAUUACAAGUGUGAGCUAUUGCACCCAUCCCAUGUUUUCAAUAAAGAUGGUGCUAUUUAAAACUAUGGCAUGUCACGUGUAUAUUAUUUUAUUUCACCAUGUGUUUAAGUGAGAUAACCAGGUGUCAAGAAAGCUUCAAUAUUUGCUUAGUUAAAUAGCCAAUGUGACGGAGAAGAGGUAACCUCUUUUCUUUUUUUUUCUUAUGAUUUGCUUUGGCUAUUACUUUUGAAACAUACAUGUUAUAUUCCCAAUUAGAUCUCGUUACAUACUUCACAGGCUGUCCAAAAAUUUCCAUACUUCUAACAAGAACUUUGGUUGACUGAGUUUAUAUAGUUUUUCUGUUCUUUGCCCUAUUUCUUUCAAGGCCUUUGAGUCAGAAGCAUUCAGCACCACGGUGUACGAUAGCCACCAUUUGCUUUGCCCUUUUAACUUUUGGGGGUUACUUUUGACCAUAGUCCAACUGCUCAGAAGGGCUUUUUCACAAAUUGUUUACCAUGGCAGUUGCUACCCUAUUGGGGUUGGCAUUCAGAACCCAUAAGCAGAGAGCAAUGGUGUCAGUAUAACAAAUAAUGUGUACAAUUUUUUAAAAUGCUGAAUUUACCAAAUCCCCAUAUUAUGUUUUCACACUGCUCUUUCAGAAACUGUGCUAAUACAAUACUCCUAUAAACUGAUCUUGGUCCUGGCAGGCCCAAUUGGAACUAAUGGGGCCUGACAGUUCUUCAGUUAAAAAUUAUACAUGAGGGUCACUUUCCCUUAAAUUAUCUAUUGUAUGCCAGCUGUUCACAACUGCACUGCUUCACUUUCUUUGCAGUGCUAGAAAUGUCUAAUUUUCUCAUAAUAUCCAUAGCAACUAUUCUCAUGGAGGGCAUUGAAGUUAGUAACACUUCAAACACACCUUCACAGAAAUCAUGCUAGAGUUGCAGUUUCCCUUUUCUUUGAUUUUAUUUUUUUGGUUCUGAAAAAUGUUUAGAUGGCUCAUUUUGCCGGUUUCAUGCCAUAGCACUUGAGUUAUAUCAUAAUUUCUCAUUUGCUGCACAACUUUAUUCUAUUUUUAUGCUCCUAAAUGACGCAGCUCUAAGUACCCGUGAGUGGCACUUCCGUGCUGUGAGUGCUAUCAAAGGCAACCUCAGACAGAUAAAACUCCUGGUUUUUUGUUUUCUUUUGUUUUUGUUUUUGUUUUUGUUUUGUUUUUGCUGGAGAGGGGAGAAGCGGAGUCAUCACCAAGGGCCUUCUUUUGUUUUUCAGGCAUGUUAAAACUAUAUAACCAACAGAACCAUUUAAAAGGAAGAAAAACAUCACCCAAGUUCCGUGUCUGAAUGAAGGCUGUCUUCUCAAAUGCUCCUCAUUACUCCAGAGCAGUUAUAUUUGGAUUAUAAUUAAAACGAGGCUUCUUUUUUUUCUUUUAUUCUUCUUUUUUCCCAGAAUGCCUCAAGUGAAGUAUUCCUCCCAAAGUUAUUGCACCUCUUUACUAACAAGUGCUGGGAUUUUAAUAAGCCUAUCCCCCCCCUCCUUACCCUGUACAGAGGAAAGGAUGGCAAAGAGUGGCUGUGGUACAAAGUUUACGUAUUCAGUGAUAUUUUCUGCUUUUAUUGGUAAAAAUGGGGAGGUGGGUGGAGGAUUUCCUUUAAUUAUGAAAUAAGUGUGAUGUUAGUAGUUAUUUCUGUAACCUGGUGAAAAUGCUGCAUAUUUCAGGCCUAACUUUUAGCGUAUGUUACCACGUGUGUAAUGAAACGGUGAUCUGCGCUCUCCGAAUCUUUUGGCUGUUAAGGAGCACUCUGAUUAUAACUAGUUUCUGUAGAAACCUGGUCAUCCAGAUGCUUAUCAAGAAUGCAUUAUUAUUUUUUAAACCUUGAUGGAGAAGCCACAGACUGCAGCAGUUGGACAAGGUCACAUACCGAUGGAAGCGACAUGUCUUUCCUCUUUCCAUUGUGUGAUCGUCCAGGGCCUGGGGGCAUUAAUAUGCAACGGUUCUGUUUUUCUUUCAGAAGGACUUGUAAACUCUUUAAACAGAGGCACACAGUUGCAAUUGUUGCGGUACUGAGUGGGUGUAUAGAAGCUAGGGCUGCAGCCUUGUCCAGUUGCAGAUAGAAUAAAACUGACAAUGAUGCAAUGGGCCUGGCAUGUAGACAACUCUGUGGGAUGGAUGAAUGGUACGGCUCUCGCUGUCCCUCCGGUGGUGGUAGGCCCUGUAAUAGCUAGCGUAGGAAGGGUGGUGAAAAUUGAUAUGCACUAUUACUACAUGUAUAAAACUUAACACUGGGGCCAUUGCACAGGUGGGGGGUUCCUGUUUAUUGAUUUUUAUGAGUUUGGUAGAACAUGCGCUUAAUGCUUUUAUAUUCCAGGAGCUCUGGGAGGGCUCACCUUAGGUAAUAAACCUUUCCGUACUUUGCAAUCGCUCACAAUUUACAUGGGGACUCGCAUUAUCCAGUACAAAGCCCAGCAUCCCCCUUCUACUUGGUUUUAGGAGUGUGAU